AUUGAACGCUGGCGGAAUGCUUUACACAUGCAAGUCGAACGGCAGCACGGACUUCGGUCUGGUGGCGAGUGGCGAACGGGUGAGUAAUGUAUCGGAACGUGCCCAGUCGUGGGGGAUAACGUAGUGAAAAUUACGCUAAUACCGCAUACGAUCUAUGGAUGAAAGCGGGGGAUCGCAAGACCUCGCGCGAUUGGAGCGGCCGAUAUCAGAUUAGGUAGUUGGUGGGGUAAAGGCCCACCAAGCCAACGAUCUGUAGCUGGUCUGAGAGGACGACCAGCCACACUGGAACUGAGACACGGUCCAGCCUCCGACGGGAGGCAGCAGUGGGGAAUUUUGGACAAUGGGCGAAAGCAUGAUCCAGCCAUUCCGCGUGCAGGAUGAAGGCCCUCGGGUUGUAAACUGCUUUUGUACAGAACGAAAAGGUUUCUACUAAUACUAGGAGCUCAUGACGGUACUGUAAGAAUAAGCACCGGCUAACUACGUGCCAGCCGCCGCCGUAA
rnacentral:rRNA from 1 species